rnacentral:rRNA from 1 species
AGAGUUUGAUCCUGGCUCAGAUUGAACGCUGGCGGCAUGCUUUACACAUGCAAGUCGAACGGCAGCACGGGUGCUUGCACCUGGUGGCGAGUGGCGAACGGGUGAGUAAUGCACCGGAACGUACCCAGUAAUGGGGGAUAACACAUCGAAAGAUGUGCUAAUACCGCAUACGCCCUGAGGGGGAAAGCGGGGGAUCGUGAGACCUCGCGUUAUUGGAGCGGCCGAUGCCGGAUUAGCUAGUUGGUGAGGUAAGAGCUCACCAAGGCGACGAUCCGUAGCUGGUCUGAGAGGACGACCAGCCACACUGGGACUGAGACACGGCCCAGACUCCUACGGGAGGCAGCAGUGGGGAAUUUUGGACAAUGGGCGCAAGCCUGAUCCAGCCAUGCCGCGUGAGUGAAGAAGGCCUUCGGGUUGUAAAGCUCUUUCGCAAGGAAAGAAAACUUAUCUACUAA